rnacentral:tRNA from 1 species
GGCAGGGUGGCUUAAUGGAAAGACCACAGGCCUGGAAGUCAGAGGUCCUGGGUUCCAAUCCCGGCUCUACCA